UACGGGGGGGCAAGCGUUGUUCGGAAUUACUGGGCGUAAAGGGCGCGUAGGCGGCCUGUUAAGUCGAACGUGAAAUCCCCGGGCUCAACCCGGGAACUGCGUCCGAUACUGGCGGGCUUGAAUCCGGGAGAGGGAUGCGGAAUUCCAGGUGUAGCGGUGAAAUGCGUAGAGUAUCUGGAGGAACACCGGUGGCGAAGGCGGCG
rnacentral:rRNA from 1 species